rnacentral:tRNA from 1 species
GCCUGGGUGGCUCAGUUGGUUGAGUGCCCGACUUCAGCUCAGGUCAGGAUCUCGCGGUCCGCGAGUUCGAGCCCCGCAUCGGGCU